CGUAGGUGAACCUGCGGAAGGAUCAUUAAUGAGUUGUCAUGGGGUUGGAUGCUGGCAGCCAAUUUUUGGAUGCAUGUGCUUGCCCUAACAAUCAUCUUCCAAACACCUGUGCACAUUUUUGAGGGAGUCUUGAGUUGGUUGCCGCUCUUGGGUGAUUUUCUCACAUUCCCUUAAAUCAUUAUACGCUAUUAACAAUGUUGAACGUGCUCUGUGCCGCAAGGCUAUUAAUAUAAUACAACUUUUAACAACGGAUCUCUUGGCUCUC
rnacentral:misc_RNA from 1 species